AUUGAACGCUGGCGGCAGGCCUAACACAUGCAAGUCGAACGAGUGGCGGACGGGUGAGUAAUGUCUGGGAAACUGCCUGAUGGAGGGGGAUAACUACUGGAAACGGUAGCUAAUACCGCAUACCAUCGGAUGUGCCCAGAUGGGAUUAGCUAGUAGGUGGGGUAAAGGCGCACCUAGGCGACGAGCCCUAGCUGGUCUGAGAGGAUGACUAGCCACGCUGGAACUUAGACACGGUCCAGGAGCCUACGGGGAGCGGCAGUGUGGAAUAUUACACAAUAGGCGCAAGCCUGAUGCAGCCAUGCCGCGUGUAUGAAGAAGGCCAUCGGGUUGUAAAGUACUUUCAGCGGGGAGGCGUUACCCGCAGAAGAAGCACCGGAUAACUCCGUGCCAGCCGCCGCGGUGAUUG
rnacentral:rRNA from 1 species